rnacentral:lncRNA from 1 species
ACAGACUCUAUGACUUAGACGCAACUAGGAGUCUUGAAGUCUUGAUUUCCUGCAAAAUAUUUCAUUCAACAAUGAUUAACCUUAGAUUCUUAUACCUUCUCCCCCUUUGUUCACAUCCCAAUCACAUCUCCCCCUUUGUUCUUGAACUCAUCAUCAUUCUCUGCUUAGUUCAAUGCCUGUUCAUCCAUGCUCUCCCCUGUUCAUCUUCGCUCUCCCCCUUUUUGUCAA